CACGUAUUUAGCCGGGGCUUCUUAGUCAGGUACCGUCAUUUUCUUCCCUGCUGAUAGGGCUUUACGCGCUGAGGCGCUCCAUCGCCCACGCGGCGUCGCUGCAUCAGGGUUCCCCCCAUUGUGCAAUAUCCCCCACUGCUGCCUCCCGUAGGAGUUUGGGCCGUGUCUCAGUCCCAAUGUGGCCGCCCACCCUCUCAGGCCGGCCUACUGAUCGUCGCCUUGGUGGGCCGUUGCCCCCGCCAACAAGCUAAUCAGACGCGGGCCCAUCCCGCACCGCCAAGGCUUUCCGCACCGCCCCAUGCGGGGCUGUGCGCCCAUGCGGUAUUAGCAGCCGUUUCCGGCUGUUGUCCCCCAGUGCGGGCAGGUUGCCCACGCGUUACUCACCCGUCCGCCACUGGGCGGCGCCCGGCUUCCAGCCCCGGAGGGCCCCCGCCGGCGCGCCCCGUUCGACUUGCAUGUGUUAGGCACGCCGCCAGCGUUCAUCCUGAGCCAGGAUCAAACUCUCUGGA
rnacentral:rRNA from 1 species